rnacentral:lncRNA from 1 species
UCGCAUCUUUAACAAGCUCCCAGGUGAUGCUGCUGUGGAUCCUGUGAUCCUGCUUUGAGAGCCACUGCCCUAGCAGGAUCACAUAUUUUGCUCAAAAUCUGCUUCCAGGUGCUGAGUGGAAGGGAGACCAACCCUGGUGCAUUGUGGGAGAAGACUACACAAAGAUGUGAAUAUCAGAAGGUAACUGUCUGCAAGGACCUUCUCACAAAUUUCGCUCAGAGAGGAGGCCUUCUGUGAAGUUGCCAUUAGACAUUGUCAUUCAUCUGUGGAGACUGAGGGCCAGAUAGUUUCAGGGCUGCAGCCCAUUGUGGAAAACUCUGAUGUCGAACUCCUAUGGCUGUAUAAACACCAGAGCUUAGUUCAGGGAGUCCCUCAGAUUGCCAACAAGUAUGAACUGAAUGAUGACACUGUUCAAAAUGCCUUCCUUGCUAUUCUCCUGCAUGACCAAGUAUCCUGGCUUUUUAGAUGCAGCCAUUAAACAUUAAGUUCUGGACGCUGGGAAAUCCAAGAUCAUGACGUUGGCAGGUCUGAUGCCUGGUGAGAGCCCACUUCCUCAUUGACGACUGUCUUCUCACUGUAAUCUCCCAUGGCAGAAGGGGCAAGCCAGCUCUCUGAGGCCUCCUUUAUAAGGGAACCAAUUCCAACUAAUCACCUCUCAAGUGCACAGAUUACUAAGCGCACUUUGGAACCAUGGAGGAAGGUGGCUGAGUGUCUCUGCCACGUGGGAAAGUGAACCACAGGGAUGGCCUUGGGCUACUGGAACCACUUUGCCCAGACACAGAGGGCUGGAGGUGCCUGGGUGGUUAGCAUUGCUGUUCCUACCCCUAACUCCAGCCGGCGGCGUCACGGAACCAGGACCAGUGACUGACAGAAUAAGGUUAUGGAUUCUUGGGAUGAAGACCACAGAAGGAAAGUGCCAUUGUUCGUUUCUUCACUGUAAAGUUGCUUUUUCUACUCUUUUCCAUACUGUGUCCUUUGGAAGGAAGUCACUGUGUACAGUCCAUACUUACGGAGUGGGGAGGCUUUUCUGGGAAUCUGAUUUCAUGGAGCCUGCUAUUUGACACCACUUCCUCGAUGUUAAGCCUGAUUUGGAUUCCUCCACCUUGAAGACUCUCUUCACUAAGAAACUGAUGUAGGAACUGUUCUUGGAGAAAGAGGCUGGUAUGAUGAGAGAAUCAAGAGUCAGAUGAAUCCUCUUCCUAAAGGUCCUCCAACUAUGAAGUAGUGAACUGGGGGCUGAAACCCGCCUCUCUCACUCUCAGUUGGUGCUCUUCGGUUGUGAACUUAAGAGGCUGCUAUGGUUUAGAAGAAAGAACUCAGGUGGCCAUUUGUUGAUUUUAUCACUGAAAUAUGGAACUUCUUCCAGACUUACCUUCCUCAUUCCUACAAUAUUGGAUAAUAAUAUUCUCCUCACACAGCUGUCUCAAGUAUUGAAGAAGAUUGUGGAUAUAAAGUACUUUUAGAACGCCAUGUUCGUGGGAGUUGUCAAACAUAAGCGAAUUAUACCAAGACAGUGGAAGGAGAACUGAGAGAAACGAUAACUGACAAGAAGAUGGCGCUGCUGCUGCUUCUCCAGCAAAAGAGCAUCAUCAAGGAGGAAAGAGAAAGCCUCAGUGGUAUUUUAGCAUUUCAUAAUAAUACACCAAGCAUCCAUAUUGACAAAAAAUAUAUUUAAAAGAUGACAUUUGAAAAUACCUACUACAUUCCUUUUCCUCCUUAUGUUGAGUUUAGUUUUAUAGAAGAAAUCACAGCUCCCUCAUUAAAAGAAUUGUGUUGCAGCAGGAGUUGAGACCCUCUGUGCUGCUCUGUUGUCAUAAUCAGGACUCAGUUGGUGACUGAACUGAAUACUUACUCUUUUUAAGAGGACGGCAGCAGUGUCUGAUACUAGACACAGAUGCCCCAUGGAGGCCUUAACUGAUUCUACUUUGAAUAAUGAUAUCACCCAUGGUUUUACUUAAUGCAUGAAUUGUGUACAUUGUCAUUCAUGGAAACUUGAGCUCUUGCCCUUAAAUUAUUUACCUUUUAAAGAGUUUUUUUUUUAAACUACAUUAAAACUGUGAAACAUUGAAUAAGUGUCAGACAUCGAGCAUCCUUUUAUACCUGGAAGCCUCAUACUGAAAUGCAAAAUUUGGUAUUCAGCUGUUUAGGUGCUGGAUGUUUUACCAAUGGAUCAAAUCCUAUUAAUUACUACUAUAAUAUUCUUCCCCUGUUCUCCUUCCAUUUGAGGCCAUAAGGAAGUAGAAUGGAGGGAAAUAGGGACUAAACAUUUACUAGUCAUAUGAAAGCAAGACAAAAAAUGGUUUCUACCUAAAAUAAGAGGCUUGGAAACAAAAAUGACACUGGAUGCUUUAGGAAGGUAAUACAUUUCCUUUAAAAAUAUUAAUUCAGAGUUCCCUGGGGGCUCAGUGGGUUAAGGAUCUGGUGUUGUCACUGCUGUGGCGCAGGUUACAACUGUGGUACAGGUUUGAUCCCUGGCACAGGAACUUCUGCAUGCCAUAGAUGUGGCUGAAAAAAGUUAAUCCCACACAGUAAUCAAUAUAUUUGCAUGGAUGUUGAUGUUCACAUCAUGGCACAUCUUUUUAUUCUAAACAUUUACCACAUUUCUAUCUAUAUCCAAUGAAUUCGAUGGUAUCUCACUAGACAUCUUGAUUUCAUUAGCUCAUAGUCAUUCACUUGUUCUUUCAGCAAAUACAAGUUCAGUGUCUAUUCCAUGGCUGGCACUGCUCUAGGUUUACAUAGUCAAGGAUCUCUACUCUGAUGGUGCUUACAAUCUGGUACAGAGAGACAGGAAUUAUGGAUUGAAUUGUGUCUCCCCCCAAAAAAAUAUGUUGUAGUCAUAGCUUCCAGAAUCUGUGAAUGUGACCUUAUUUGGAAAUUGGUUCUCAGUAGAUGUAAUCAAGUUAAAAUGAGGUAGUACUGGAUAAAGUUGGUGUCCAGUCUAAUGACUGGUGUUCAUAUAAGAGAGAAACUUGGACACAGAUAGCAACACAUGGAAAAAUGCCAUGAGAGGACAGAGGCAGAGAUGGGAGUCAGGGGUUUAGAAGCCAAGAAAUGCCAAGAACUGCUGGCAACCACCAGAAGCUAGGAAGAGGCGAGGAAAUACUGUCCCUGAGAGCCUCCAGUGGGCAUACCAGAGCACCUUUAUUUCCAACCGGUAGCUUCCAGAACUUUGAGAAAAUCAAUCUCUGUUGUUCUAAGACACCCAAUUUGUGAUGAUUGGUUAUGGCAGCCCUGGGAAACUAAUACACCCAGCAAUAAAAAUUUAAGCAGCAAAUUAUAUAAUAUAUUAAGAGGUAGUUAAAAAAGAUAAUGCUAGGAAGAAGGGUAGGGAGUAUCAGAAAAGUUGCAGUUUUAAAUAGAGAAGAUCUUACUGAGGAGGUGACAUUUGAACAAAGAGUUAAAGGAGUCGAUGGAGACAGUUCAUGGAAAUAUCUGAAGAGAUUGUUUGGUCCAGGCAGAGGAAACAGCAAGUGCAAAGGCCCUGAGGCAGGAGAGUUUCUGUAUUGCAUUAGUUUCCUAGGUAUGCUGUAAAAAAUUACCACAGUGUGGCUUAAAACAAUAGAAACCUGUUCUCUUACAGUCCUGGAGGCCAGAAGUCUGAAAUCAAGAUGUCAGCAAGGCCACAUGCUCUCUGGAGGCUCCAUAAAGGAAUCCUUCCUGGCCUCUUUCAGCUUCUGGUGGCUUGUGCUGUUUCUUGCUCAUGGUUACAUUUCUUUGUGUUCAUCUUCACAUGGCCUUUUUCUCUGUGUAUCCCUGUCUCCUCCUCUUCUGUUAUUUAUCAGGACUUAUUAUUGGAUUUAGGGCCCACCCAUAAUAUCCAGAAUGAGCUCACAUCAAGAGCCUUACCUUCAUUAUAACUGUGAAGAACCCUUUUUUUUCCC